rnacentral:rRNA from 1 species
UACAGAGGGUGCGAGCGUUAAUCGGAAUCACUGGGCGUAAAGGGCGCGUAGGCGGCUUUAUAAGUCGGGGGUGAAAGCCUGUGGCUCAACCACAGAAUUGCCUUCGAUACUGUAUGGCUUGAGACCGGAAGAGGUAAGUGGAACUGCGAGUGUAGAGGUGAAAUUCGUAGAUAUUCGCAAGAACACCAGUGGCGAAGGCGGCUUACUGGUCCGGUUCUGACGCUGAGGCGCGAAAGCGUGGGGAGCAAACAGG